AGUGAACGCUGGCGGUAGGCCUAACACAUGCAAGUCGAACGGCAGCACAGUAAGGGCUUGCUCUUACGGGUGGCGAGUGGCGGACGGGUGAGGAAUACAUCGGAAUCUACUUUUUCGUGGGGGAUAACGUAGGGAAACUUACGCUAAUACCGCAUACGACCUACGGGUGAAAGCAGGGGAUCUUCGGACCUUGCGCGAUUGAAUGAGCCGAUGUCGGAUUAGCUAGUUGGCGGGGUAAAGGCCCACCAAGGCGACGAUCCGUAGCUGGUCUGAGAGGAUGAUCAGCCACACUGGAACUGAGGCACGGUCCAGACUCCUACGGGAGGCAGCAGUGGGGAAUAUUGGACAAAGGGCGCAAGCCUGAUCCAGCCAUACCGCGUGGGUGAAGAAGGCCUUCGGGUUGUAAAGCCCUUUUGUUGGGAAAGAAAAGCAGCAGGUUAAUACCCCGCUGUUCUGACGGUACCCAAAGAAUAAGCACCGGCUAACUUCGUG
rnacentral:rRNA from 1 species